rnacentral:tRNA from 1 species
UCGGGAUAGCUCAGUUGGUAGAGCAGAGGACUGAAAAUCCUCGUGUACCCAGUUCAUUA